UUGCCCUACGGGACGCAGCAGUGGGGAAUAUUGCACAAUGGGGGAAACCCUGAUGCAGCGACGCCGCGUGAGUGAAGAAGUAUUUCGGUAUGUAAAGCUCUAUCAGCAGGGAAGAUAAUGACGGUACCUGGCUAAGAAGCUCCGGCUAAAUACGUGCCAGCAGCCGCGGUAAUACGUAUGGGGCAAGCGUUAUCCGGAUUUACUGGGUGUAAAGGGAGCGUAGACGGAGGAGCAAGUCUGAUGUGAAAAUCCGGGGCCCAACCCCGGAACUGCAUUGGAAACUGUUUAUCUAGAGUGUCGGAGAG
rnacentral:rRNA from 1 species